rfam:Musa acuminata subsp. malaccensis Doubled-haploid Pahang (DH-Pahang) genomic chromosome, chr5
AGAGCGGACUUCAGCCAAGAAUGACUUGCCAACAAGCUGAAGCCUUGGACUUCUACAUUAAGAUAUUGGCAACUCAUUCUUGGCUUUAUUCCACUCUCU